UACAAGAUGGCAUCAUGAGUCCGCAUGUUCACAUGAUUAAAGGUAUUCCGGUAGACGAUGGGGAUGCGUUCCAUUAGAUAGUAGGCGGGGUAACGGCCCACCUAGUCUUCGAUGGAUAGGGGUUCUGAGAGGAAGGUCCCCCACAUUGGAACUGAGACACGGUCCAAACUCCUACGGGAGGCAGCAGUGAGGAAUAUUGGUCAAUGGGCGAGAGCCUGAACCAGCCAAGUAGCGUGAAGGAUGACUGCCCUAUGGGUUGUAAACUUCUUUUAUAAAGGAAUAAAGUCGGGUAUGGAUACCCGUUUGCAUGUACCUUAUGAAUAAGCAUCGGCUAAUUCCGUGCCAGCAGCCGCGGUAAUACGGAAGAUGCGAGCGUUAUCCGGAUUUAUUGGGUUUAAAGGGAGCGUAGGCGGGCUUUUAAGUCAGCGGUCAAAUGCCACGGCUCAACCGUGGCCAGCCGUUGAAACUGUAAGCCUUGAGUCUGCACAGGGCACAUGGAAUUCGUGGUGUAGCGGUGAAAUGCUUAGAUAUCACGAAGAACUCCGAUCGCGAAGGCAUUGUGCCGGGGCAGCACUGACGCUGAGGCUCGAAAGUGCGGGUAUCAAACAGGAUUAGAUACCCUGG
rnacentral:rRNA from 1 species